UACGUAGGGUGCGAGCGUUGUCCGGAAUUAUUGGGCGUAAAGAGCUUGUAGGCGGUUUGUCGCGUCUGCUGUGAAAUCUCAAGGCUCAACCUUGAGCUUGCAGUGGGUACGGGCAGACUAGAGUGUGGUAGGGGAGACUGGAAUUCCUGGUGUAGCGGUGGAAUGCGCAGAUAUCAGGAGGAACACCGGUGGCGAAGGCGGGUCUCUGGGCAGUAACUGACGCUGGAGGAGCGAAAGCGUGGGGAGCGAACAGG
rnacentral:rRNA from 1 species